rnacentral:rRNA from 1 species
UACGUAGGGUGCGAGCGUUGUCCGGAAUUAUUGGGCGUAAAGAGCUCGUAGGCGGUUUGAUCGCGUCGAACUGUGAAAACUGGGGCUUAACUCUCAGCUUGCAGUUGAUACGGGCAGACUUGAGUUCGGUAGGGGAGACUGGAAUUCCUGGUGUAGCGGUGAAAUGCGCAGAAUAUCAGGAGGAACAGCCGGUGGCGAAGGCGGGUCUCUGGGCCGAUACUGACGCUGAGGAGCGAAAGCGUGGGGAGCGAACAGG